GAAUACGAACAAUGGUUUCUAAAUAUAGAAGGUUAUGAAAAAAAAACGCGUAGCGUUACACUGCGUCUCAAAUAUUAGGGUUUUUUUUUUAAAAAAAAGAAUUUACUUGCCUCCCAAAAUUUCAUAGCAGUUCAACCAUUUUCCCCACUUAAUUCUGAAUUUAUUCCAAAGUACCCUUCUCUGCCUUAGUUAUCCCGCUUCCUCAAAAUCCCUAACCCUAAACUCACUCCUAAUCCCGCUUCAUCAAAAUCCCUCUCCACCGCACCAUCAGAUGAACCAGCCCCAAAAUUUCAUAGCAGUUCAACCCAAGGGAACUUUCUAUGGAUAAAUUUGCAAUCAGCUGAACUUUAAUUUGCACUCUUUUGUUCAACACUAUUGCAAUUUGAAGUUAUGCCACUUUGAAGGUGUACUAAAUGGAUCAAUGACAACGUUAGUCGGAUUCGUCUUAAUGGUUUUAUGAUAAGGAUCGUCAAGGGAUUCGAUGAAGAUAUACAUGGCAUGAGGGUAGGUUUAAACAUUAUUGAAGAUGAACAUAAACACAGAUUGGUGGCUGCAGUGAAAUAUUCUCACUUCAUACAAAGGGUUGCAGGCGGAGUAAGAAACAUCAUGAUUUAUUGUUGGGCUGGGGGAAAGAAAAAGUUAAAAACAUUCGGAGUCUGUAUGCUAGAAAGAUUGAAAAGUCGAACUUGGUUAUCAAGGAGCUCGUUAAGGAAAAUGAUGAAGAAAAAGAAAGGUUAAAUGGAGUUAUUGCGGGCUUGUUGGUUGAAAAAGAAAAAGAUAAGGUGGACAAAGAUGUUAUGCUCAAUAGGAUGUCACAAAUUGAAGCUAUGUUAACCGCUAUGGUUCGAAGAUAGGCUAUAAACACUUGGUUUUGAACGUUUUGAUGUUUAUCAUAUUAGGAUAAUUUCGGUAAUUUGAUGUUUUAGUUGGCAUUUAGAUUAGAAUGUUUUAUAAUUUUAUAUAUUUUUCGGAUUUUGUAAUUU